AGGGUUUGAUUCUGGCUCAGGACGAACGCUGGCGGCGUGCCUAACACAUGCAAGUCGAGCGGGAAGCUGCUCACGGAGGCUUCGGCCGAAGUGAGCAGUGGAGAGCGGCGGACGGGUGAGUAACGCGUGAGUAACCUGCCCAUAAGAGGGGGAUAACAACCGGAAACGGUUGCUAAUACCGCAUAAAAUAGUUAAACCGCAUGGUUUAACUAUCAAAGAUUUAUCGCUUAUGGAUGGACUCGCGUCCAAUUAGCUAGUAGGUAGGGUAACGGCCUACCUAGGCGACGAUUGGUAGCCGAACUGAGAGGUUGAUCGGCCACAUUGGGACUGAGACACGGCCCAG
rnacentral:rRNA from 1 species